CUACGGGAUGCAGCAGUCGAGAAUAGUCUACAAUGGGGGAAACCCUGAUAGUGCGACGCCGCGUGAACGAAGAAGCUUUUCGGAGUGUAAAGUUCUUUUCUGUAUGAGCAAUGCUUUAUUGUUUAAGAGAUAAUAGAGAGAGAUAUUAGUACAGGAAUAAGCCACGGCUAACUCCGUGCCAGCAGCCGCGGUAAUACGGGGGUGGCAAGCGUUGUCCGGAAUUACUAGGCGUAAAGGGCAGGUAGGCGGAUAUUCAAGUCAGGCGUUAAAGGCAUCAGCUCAACUGGUGUACGGCGUUUGAAACUGGAUAUCUAGAGUCAGGUAGAGGUAGAUGGAAUUCCUAGUGUAGCGGUGGAAUGCGCAGAGAUUAGGAAGAACACCAAAGGCGAAGGCAAUCUACUGGGCCAUGACUGACGCUAAACUGCGAAGGUGUGGGUAUCAAACAGGAUUAGAUACCCGAGUAGUC
rnacentral:rRNA from 1 species